GGCGAUCAGAUACCGCCCUAGUUCUGACCGUAAACGAUGCCAACUAGCGAUCCGCCGGCGGAAUUUUUGCCCUGGUGGGGAGCUUCCCGGAAACGAAAGUCUUCCGGUUCCGGGGGAAGUAUGGUUGCAAAGCUGAAACUUAAAGGAAUUGACGGAAGGGCACCACCAGGAGUGGAGCCUGCGGCUUAAUUUGACUCAACACGGGGAAACUCACCCGGCCCGGACGCCGUGAGGAUUGACAGAUUGAUAGCUCUUUCAUGAUUCGGCGGAUGGUGGUGCAUGGCCGUUCUUAGUUCGUGGAGCGAUUUGUCUGCUUUAUUGCGAUAACGAGCGAGACUCUAGCCUACUAAAUAGUCAGCGGAUUGGCUCUGUCCGCGUGACUUCUUAGAGGGAUUUUCGGUGUUCAGCCGCAAGAAAUUGAGCAAUAACAGGUCUGUGAUGCCCUUAGAUGUCCGGGGCUGCACGCGCGCUACACUGGCAAAAUCAGCGUGCUUGUCCAUCCCCGAAAGGGGUUGGUAAACCCUUGAAAAUUUGCCGUGAUUGGGAUCGGAAAUUGCAAUUAUUUUCCGUGAACGAGGAAUUCCAAGUAAGUGCGAGUCAUCAACUCGCGUUGAUUACGUCCCUGCCCUUUGUA
rnacentral:rRNA from 1 species